GGAUACUGAACAAAAUAAUUUUAUAAUAAAAUUAUAAUAAUUUUAAAAAAAGACUAAAAAUAUGUUUUAUUCGUUUUAAAAUAAAUUUUAUAUAACAAAAUGAUAGUCUAAGUUAAUCGCACUUAGAAAUGACUUCAAAUCCAGCAAAGAAAAUCUCCUCUAGAAGAAGGGUUAAUAUCUUUACAAUAAAAUUAUAUUUUUUCCAAAUUUUUCAACAAAAUCUACAUUAGAAAACAAUCCGUGUAUCAUGUCCCCAGUUGAAAUACAACUAUCAUUACAAUCAUCAGUAGAACGAAAGUUACAUAUUUUUCACAAUUGUAUUUAUUUUAAAAGUGGUCUAAGUCCACUUUGACAAGUUUCAAACUAAUAUGGGGUAUAUUAUGGAGUAAACUUUUAUUAGUUAAAGAUAUAAAGAAAUAUUGCAUAAUAUUGCAUUGAAUGGAACAAGUGUAUUACAGAUGGACGAUUUGAAUUCGAUAAAGUAAAAACCUUCGGAAACCGGAACUUGAGUAAGGCGGAAACCUUCCAGAGAUGGA